AUACGGAGGAUGCGAGCGUUAUCCGGAUUUAUUGGGUUUAAAGGGUGCGUAGGCGGCUUGGUAAGUCAGCGGUGAAAUUCAGAUGCUCAACAUCUGCCGUGCCGUUGAAACUGCCGGGCUUGAAUGCGGAUGCCGUGGGAGGAAUGUGUGGUGUAGCGGUGAAAUGCAUAGAUAUCACACAGAACACCGAUUGCGAAGGCAUCUCACGAAUCCGCGAUUGACGCUGAGGCACGAAAGUGCGGGGAUCAAACAGGAUUAGAUACCCUGGUAGUCCGCACAGUAAACGAUGAUGACUAACCGUCGGCGAUACACAGUCGGUGGCCAAGCGAAAGCGAUAAGUCAUCCACCUGGGGAGUACGACCGCAAGGUUGAAACUCAAAUGAAUGGACGGGG
rnacentral:rRNA from 1 species